rnacentral:rRNA from 1 species
UAGGGAAUCUUCGGCAAUGGACGGAAGUCUGACCGAGCAACGCCGCGUGAGUGAAGAAGGUUUUCGGAUCGUAAAGCUCUGCUGUAAGAGAAGAACGAGUGUGAGAGUGGAAAGUUCACACUGUGACGGUAUCUUACCAGAAAGGGACGGCUAACUACGUGCCAGCAGCCGCGGUAAUACGUAGGUCCCGAGCGUUGUCCGGAUUUAUUGGGCGUAAAGCGAGCGCAGGCGGUUAGAUAAGUCUGAAGUUAAAGGCUGUGGCUUAACCAUAGUAGGCUUUGGAAACUGUUUAACUUGAGUGCAAGAGGGGAGAGUGGAAUUCCAUGUGUAGCGGUGAAAUGCGUAGAUAUAUGGAGGAACACCGGUGGCGAAAGCGGCUCUCUGGCUUGUAACUGACGCUGAGGCUCGAAAGCGUGGGGAGCAAACAGGAUUAGAUACCCUGGUAGUCCACGCUGUAAACGAUGAGUGCUAGGUGUUAGACCCUUUCCGGGGUUUAGUGCCGUAGCUAACGCAUUAAGCACUCCGCCUGGGGAGUACGACCGCAAGGUUG